CCUACGGGAGGCAGCAGUGAGGAAUAUUGGUCAAUGGGCGGAAGCCUGAACCAGCCAAGUAGCGUGCGGGAUGAAGGCCCUACGGGUCGUAAACCGCUUUUGCACGGGGAUAACACCCUCCACUUGUGUAGUUCUGCCGGUACCGUGCGAAUAAGGGCCGGCUCAUUCCGUUCCAGCCGCCGCGGUAAUACGGAAGGCCCGAGCGUUAUCCGGAGUCAUUGGGCUUAAAGGGAGCGUAGGCGGGCGUUCAAGUCAGCUGUAAAAUCGCGUGGCUCAACCGCGCCCCGCAGUUGAAACUGGACGCCGUGAGUUCACAACAGGCAGGCGGAAUGCGUGGUGUAGCGGUGAAAUGCAUAGAGAUCACGAGGAACCCCGAUUGCGAAGGCAGCCUGCCGGGGUGCGACUGACGCUGAGGCUCGAAGGUGCGGGUAUCAAACAGGAUUAGAUACCCCAGUAGUC
rnacentral:rRNA from 1 species